rnacentral:rRNA from 1 species
UUAGGCGAACGGGUGAGUAACGCGUGAGUAACCUGCCCUGGAGUGGGGGGACAACAGUUGGAAACGACUGCUAAUACCGCAUAAGCCCACGAUCCGGCAUCGGAUUGAGGGAAAAGGAUUUAUUCGCUUCAGGAUGGACUCGCGUCCAAUUAGCUGGUUGGUGAGGUAACGGCCCACCAAGGCGACGAUUGGUAGCCGGACUGAGAGGUUGAACGGCCACAUUGGGACUGAGACACGGCCCAG